CGCGGUAUCCUAACCGUGCAAAGGUAGCAUAAUCAUUUGUCUAUUAAUUGUAGACCUGUAUGAAAGGUAAAAUGAGAAUCCAACUGUCUCUUAUAAUAAAUCAAUAAAACUGAUCUCCUAGUAAAAAAGCUAGAAUACCAACAUAAGACCAGAAGACCCUGUGAAGCUUUAACAAACCCAUUAAAUCAAAUAAUGAUUACUUUCGGUUGGGGCGACCUUGGAAUAAAAAAGAACUUCCAACAUAUGACCUAUCAUAAAACAAGGCAAACAAGCCAAUACUAGACCCAGUCAUAACUGAUAAUUGAAAUAAGUUACUCCAGGGAUAACAGCGCUAUCUUCUUCAAGAGCCCAUAUCAAAAAGAAGGUUUACGACCUCGAUGUUGGAUCAGGACAUCCCAGUAAUGCACCCGUUACUAAAGGUUCGUUUGUUCAACGAUUAACAGUCCUACGUGAUCUGAG
rnacentral:rRNA from 1 species